GGAUUUCUUUCGCCUGGAAGAAGACAGGAAAUCGAGCUUGAUUAAUUUCCUCCAAAUUUCAUCCUUGGGCCAGUGUAUACUAAAUAUGGAAUAGCAAGGAUAAGAAUGGCAAAAUUUAGGCUCCAAAAGCUUCAAAUUGUUAGAAAAGUUUGGAAUUCUAAAGCUUAGAAUUGCAAAAAUUUGGAACCCCAAAGCUCAGAAUUGUAAAAGCUUAGAAUUCCAAAGGUAAAUAUUGUAAAACUUUGGUAUCUUAAAACUUACAAUUCUAAAAUUUGAGAUCUCAAAAUUUACAAUUGUGGAAGUUAAAAAUCGCAUAGUCGAGAAUAAUGAAAAUUGAAAUUCCAAAGCUUGUAAUACCAAAUUUCAAUAUCCUAGAAGCUUACAAUCCCAAGAAGAAUUCUUGAUAUUAUUGAAACUCCAAAUAUUGUAACAGGAAAUACUAAAAAUUUCAAAGCUUGCUUCUAUACAUUGGGAUGAAAAGUAAAAGAAUGAGAGCUGAAGGAUCCAAGUUCCGGCGCAAGCAAUAAAAAGAAUGCACAUCGAGACGAAGGGAGAGACGUCAUGGGAUAUCAGUUAAGCAAAGUGAAAAAGAAACAUGGAAGAGCGGUAUUCGCGGUUGAUGCGCUGAAAACGGACCGAUCGUCAUCUUCAGGAUAGUUAGCGUGUCUCGAUAUCUUUAGUUACCUGAAGUUAUGGUAUAUCGUCGCCAUUUGGUUUGCACUAGGUCGCCUUGUACACUGUCAAUCCCGGCUAAGAUACUGGGAUGAAAAAAAAACUAAUGAAGACACAUUCUCCCCUUGCUACGAUAUCGACGGAAGAUUUUUGCUCCGAAAAACCAUCAUAAAUCUCAUAAAGAUUUUAAUUUUAAGCUAGCGUACCAAAAAAUUGGUUUAAGAAGACUAUGGAUGUAUAAAUUAAUGUUGAAAUUAGGAUAAAAGAUCAGUCAGCUUGAACAAUAAGACAGGUUCCACCACAGAUCUCUCAAUUUCCAUUAACUGAACAACGGCAGAAGCUUAAUUUAUACUUAGAAACCAUGUUGUAAUAAUUUCUUCUAUGUU